rnacentral:rRNA from 1 species
AUACGAAGGGUGCAAGCGUUACUCGGAAUUACUGGGCGUAAAGCGUGCGUAGGUGGUUGUUUAAGUCUGUCGUGAAAGCCCUGGGCUCAACCUGGGAAUGGCGAUGGAGACUGGGCGACUAGAGUGUGGCAGAGGGUGGUGGAAUUCCUGGUGUAGCAGUGAAAUGCGUAGAGAUCAGGAGGAACAUCCGUGGCGAAGGCGGCUGCCUGGGCCAACGCUGACGCUGAGGGACGAAAGCGUGGGGAGCAAACAGGAUUAGAGACCCUGGUAGUCCACGCCCUAAACGAUGCGAACUGGAUGUUGGGUGCAAUUUGGCACGCAGUAUCGAAGCUAACGCGUUAAGUUCGCCGCCUGGGGAGUACGGUCGCAAGACUGAAACUCAAAUGAAUUGACGGGG